rnacentral:lncRNA from 1 species
GAUCCCUCAGCCCCGCCGCCAUCCCUGGACCUCCCUGCCUGUCCUCACUGGGAUCCCUCAGCCCUGCCGCCAUCCCUGGGUGUUCCUGCCUGUCCUCACAGAAAUCCCUCAGCCCCAGUGCCAUCCCUGGGAUAAUCUGGUGCCUGUGCUCAAGGAGCAGCCUGUUCUUCACAAGGACUGCUGAAGGCUGUAGUGCUUCACCUCAGCUGCCAUCUCUGGGGGUCUCACCCUGGGCACAGAUGCACCCUCAUGCUCAGCAAACCCCUCUCCCCACCUUAACCCAAGUUUCACAAAAUGACAGUAAUUACAUUAUAAACUCUGCCCUUCCUUCACCCCCCACCACCACCACCUCCAUGUGUUUUCACUUCAGCUAAACAGCAGAAAUAUUUCCUGGCAGCUGUCUUCAAUUGAGGGCAGGGAGGGAGAAGGCAAGCGUUGCAAGCUAAUGAUCAGGACUAGAAAAAUCAGGGACUACAAGGUGGAGGAUCAUGAUCCAAAUCCGCUGCAUGUCAAGGAGCACUUGAAGCUGGACAAAAACUCUACAACACCUCUUUGGGGACAUGGAACAAGGGCUCAUGGCAUCACAUUCCUGCGCAGAACUGUCCUGCACCAUGGGAGCAAUAUGGCUCGUACCUUCCCAUGUGUGGAGGCAGAAAAAAGGACCUCAAGGGUGGCUCUUCCAGUUGACCCCAGCAGGAAGAAGAGGUCACAGAAAGGCUGUUUUGAGGACUGUGGCAGACUCAGGUAAUGACUCAACUGACUUUGUGACCAAAAGUCAGACAAGGCCAAGCUCAGACCUUUCCCACAGACAUAAACGCAUUUUUAAAUGUGAUCACACGCACGC